rnacentral:rRNA from 1 species
UACGUAGGUGACAAGCGUUGUCCGGAUUUACUGGGCGUAAAGAGCGCGCAGGCGGUCGAUCAAGUCGAGUGUGAAAGCCCCCGGCUCAACUGGGGAGGGUCAUUCGAUACUGAUCGGCUCGAAGGCAGGAGAGGGUAGUGGAAUUCCCGGUGUAGUGGUGAAAUGCGUAGAUAUCAGGAGGAAUACCGAUGGCGAAGGCAGGUCUCUGGGCUGACACUGACGCUCAUGCACGAAAGCGUGGGGAGCAAACAGG